GGUUACUGCUAUCGGUGUUCGCCUAAGCCAUGCGAGUCAUAUGUUCGUAAGAACAUGGCGUACUGCUCAGUAACACGUGGAUAACCUGCCCUUGGGUCCGGCAUAACCCCGGGAAACUGGGGAUAAUUCCGGAUAACGCACAUAUGCUGGAAUGCUUUUUGCGUAAAAUGGAUUCGUCUGCCCAAGGAUGGGUCUGCGGCCUAUCAGGUAGUAGUGGGUGUAAUGUACCUACUAGCCUACGACGGGUACGGGUUGUGAGAGCAAGAGCCCGGAGAUGGAUUCUGAGACAUGAAUCCAGGCCCUACGGGGCGCAGCAGGCGCGAAAACUUUACAAUGCGGGAAACCGUGAUAAGGGGACACCGAGUGCCAGCAUCCUAUGCUGGCUGUCCGGGUGUGUAAAAUACACCUGUUAGCAAGGGCCGGGCAAGACCGGUGCCAGCCGCCGCGGUAACACCGGCGGCCCGAGUGGUGAUCGUGAUUAUUGGGUCUAAAGGGUCCGUAGCCGGUUUGGUCAGUCCUCCGGGAAAUCUGACAGCUUAACUGUUGGGCUUUCGGAGGAUACUGCCAGACUUGGAACCGGGAGAGGUAAGAGGUACUACAGGGGUAGGAGUGAAAUCUUGUAAUCCCUGUGGGACCACCUGUGGCGAAGGCGUCUUACCAGAACGGGUUCGACGGUGAGGGACGAAAGCUGGGGGCACGAACCGGAUUAGAUACCCGGGUAGUCCCAGCCGUAAACGAUGCUCGCUAGGUGUCAGGCAUGGCGCGACCGUGUCUGGUGCCGCAGGGAAGCCGUGAAGCGAGCCACCUGGGAAGUACGGCCGCAAGGCUGAAACUUAA
rnacentral:rRNA from 1 species